GAAGCUUUAGGUGUCGGCUCCUGUAAUGGUCUUCACAUAUUCAUCAGUUCUGUAAGACCUUUUUGUUUUGCUGGUAUUAGAAAUUUAGUUUAAACCUUUAUUGAAAAGGAGGCAAUGUCAGUAUUUCUUACUCAACUAAUGUUAUGACUAUUUGGCUAAUAAUGAAAAAUAGUGUAAAUGUACUUUUUUAACUAGUGGUUUUUAGUGAUGAUGGUUUUUAACUUGUUUUUAAACCUAGUAUCAAGUUUUCUUAUCUGUUAAGCUACUUUUGAAGGCCUAAAUUUGGAGGAAAAAACCCAGAAUUAUUAUUAUUAUUAUUUUCAAUUUUUUUUUUUGUAAGUCUCAAGCAUGAACAACUGUCAUCUCCGAUUCAUUAAAAUGGAGAAUCCGUAUGUUCCCUUGUAAAUGGUUGAAUAAAAGGAAGUUAUUGUGAAUCAAAUGAUCAUUGAUAAAACAAUUAAUACAUAUGAAAUUAUAUAAGGGAAUGGUGUUGUAUGCAUUGCUUUUUAUCUUAGUCUAGGGCUACCGGGGUAGAUUCUAAAACAUUGCUAAUUGCAGAUCAUUUGAUCCUUACGCUUAAGUAAAAAUUGAUAUGUACUGUAAUACACUUUGGUUAUGCAUGACAUAUUCAUCCUUUGUUACAUUAAUUCACUUAUGAUUCUAGUCUAUUAGCCGCUUCAUCUAUAUAUACUGCUUGGUUAGUUCUCAUCUGGAAAUAUUUUUUUCUUAUUGAUUUCUAAAUUUUGGUUGGUUUAAAUCUUGGCAGUACUUAAAUGAAAACAAGUCUUUGAUUCUGAAGAUUGUGGAAAGCCAGAAUUCGGGGAAGAUUAAUGAGUGUGCUGAGUGGUAUGCAAAACGAUUUCUACAUCCUGACAUUGUGGCACCAUAUGAUUACAUAUUUAUCUGGGACGAAGAUUUGGGAGUGGAUAAUUUUGAUUCUGAAAAAUACGUUGAUUUGGUUAAGAAACAUGGUUUGGAAAUUUCACAGCCUGGUGUGGAUCCUAAUAGUCCGUUUACAUGGCAGAUGACAAGGAAAAGACAUGACAGUGAAGUUCACAAGUAAUAACUACUAAUGAUGUAUAAUUUAUGCCCAGUUAUCUUCCUUUGCAACAGAAGCAGGAUUUCGAUAUUAAUUACCAA